rnacentral:rRNA from 1 species
AACGAACGCUGGCGGCAUGCCUAACACAUGCAAGUCGAACGAGACCUUCGGGUCUAGUGGCGCACGGGUGCGUAACGCGUGGGAACCUGCCCUUAGGUUCGGAAUAACUCCCCGAAAGGGGUGCUAAUACCGGAUAAUGUCUUCGGACCAAAGAUUUAUCGCCCUUGGAUGGGCCCGCGUUGGAUUAGCUAGUUGGUAGGGUAAAAGCCUACCAAGGCGACGAUCCAUAGCUGGUCUGAGAGGAUGAUCAGCCACACUGGGACUGGGACACGGCCCAGACUCUUACGGGAGGAAGCAGUGGGGAAUAUUGGAAAAUGGGCGAAGGCCUGAUGCAGCAAGGCCGCGUAAGUGAUGAAGGCAUGGGGGUUGUAAAGCUCUUUUACCCGGGAAGAUAAUGACAGUACCGGGAGAAUAAGCUCCGGCUAACUCCGUG